rnacentral:lncRNA from 1 species
CUGUUCCAGAUUUACUUGAAGAUGUUCCUCAGAGUUCACCAUUUCAAGAAAGCUCAGAAGUUGAAGAAAGGGUUACAGGAGCAAUUACGUUUCCCGAACAGUGCAGUGUGUUAUCGGAGGGCAUACCUGUCUUAUUUGCUUUGAUGACGCGGAAAACUGAAAAAGCCUAUGACGCUGUCAUUGGCUACAUUAAGAUAGAAUUUAAGCUGACCGCAUUAGUGUUCAUAUUGGAUUCAGAAGUGGCCAUAAACAACGCAUUAUUUCGGUUUUUUCCUGAUGUCAAACAUGUUUCUUGCUACUUCCACUAUGCUCAGAGUGUCACAUUAGAGUGUCUGAAACUUGGGUUUCGACCCCUCACCACUGAAGGAAGCGGUCGGCGAAUUUUUGGACUCAUAUUGGCUAUUCCUUUGCUGCCAUCGUCACAAAUUUGGGCAGGAUUUGUGGAAGUGAGGAAAGUUAUUCAGGACCUUGCUUACGAAGGCGUUGAAAGGAGCGAUGGAAAUGAUGGCAACAAGGAGGCCACAUCAGAACCUCCAUUGUUAGGAUUUAAAAAGCUUUUAAUGUAUGUUGCUGAAACAUGGAUAAAUCGUGUGGGGACCAGAAGUUUGUCUGUUUAUGGACAGGCAUUGCGGACAACAAAUUUCCAGGAAAGUCUUCAUAGCACUUUCGACAAGCGUCAUCCUAAUUUUUGGGAAUUUAUAGAAUUAUUGAAAGACCUCGAUAAAGAAGCUGAUGGACUUAUUGUGGCCAGCGAUAUUGGAAAACAAGCUCAAAGGCCUCCAAAGAAAGCCUUCAUAUUCAAUCGUAAGGCACAGCAAAGAAGCGAAAAUAAGUUUGCUCUAGGAGAAAUUUCGGUCUACGAUUUCCUGAAUCGGGGAAUACAUCAGGUCAAUACUUUCGCCAAUAAACUUUUGGCCUCUCGCAAGAGAAAAGAUCUGGCUGAUGAAAGGAAGACUUAUUCAGUAAGAUUAUUUUUAAAGAUUCUUCAUACUUUAUUGAGUAAUGAACUACCUGACACAAGAGGCAGUGAAGACAUUACUAAAGGCUACCCCGGGUCUGUACCCAAAGAUAGCUGA